GUCGAACGCUGGCGGCGUGCUUAACACAUGCAAGUCGAACGGAAAGGCCCUGCUUUUGUGGGGUGCUCGAGUGGCGAACGGGUGAGUAACACGUGAGUAACCUGCCCUUGACUUUGGGAUAACUUCAGGAAACUGGGGCUAAUACCGGAUAGGAGCUCCUGCUGCAUGGUGGGGGUUGGAAAGUUUCGGCGGUUGGGGAUGGACUCGCGGCUUAUCAGCUUGUUGGUGGGGUAGUGGCUUACCAAGGCUUUGACGGGUAGCCGGCCUGGGAGGGUGACCGGCCACAUUGGGACUGAGAUACGGCCCAGACUCCUACGGGAGGCAGCAGUGGGGAAUAUUGCACAAUGGGCGGAAGCCUGAUGCAGAAACGCCGCGUGCGGGAUGACGGCCUUCGGGUUGUAAACCGCUGUCGCCUGUGACGAAGCGUGAGUGACGGUAAUGGGUAAAGAAGCACCGGCUAACUACGUG
rnacentral:rRNA from 1 species